rnacentral:lncRNA from 1 species
AUUAAGACAAAUACAAAUAAAUGUGAUGCAAAGUGUAUGACAGCAUGCAACCUUAAUCAAACUUUUAACCUGACAAAGUGUCUCAUAACUUGUAAAAAUUAUAAUUUGUGUGAACUUGGUUGUUUAUUCUACAGUCAUAUUAAAGAAAAUGACACUGA